rnacentral:lncRNA from 1 species
CUUCUCUUGUUUCAUCUUUAUUUUUUCAAAUGUCAUCAGGAAAAAUGGGUAAGUGAAUAUUUUCAUUGAAACACAUAACAAUAUUUAGCAAAAUCUCAAAGCUGUAUAUGGUCUGGUGUUUUAUAUAACUUUGGCAUCCUAUUCAACUAAACCACAAAUGGGAUAUAUGGAAGUUAUUUCUUAUAUCCUUAAGCAUUUAUUUUCUUCUUGUUAAUGGAAUGUCUCAUGUCAGAGGCUCUAUAGGGAAAAUGAAACAUUAUUUUCAAAUAGGAUUAAACAAUUAUAUAACUCAUUGUUUUGGGGAUAUAGGAACAGAAGUCUCUCCUGAUAGGACUUAGUGCUUAUUAAAUAUAAGUUGAUAAUGAUGAUUAAUAUAGGCUGCAAUGGGGACUAAGCUCUAUCAUUGCUACAUUGUUCGCCUAUGCACACUGUGGGAAAAGGUUAUAACACUAUGGAUAUGCCAGAAAUGUGAGCAAAUGUUGAUUUACAUGGCACACAAAAAGUAGGAAGAUUUGAAAAAUUCUACUAGUGAUCAUCACUCACUGUGGAUAUACUGUCAGUAUGCUAAUAUUUUGGCCCCAAGAUGAAAACUUUACAGUUAAGUGAGUAGAGGCAAUAUAUCAGAACCUAUAUGUGAGUGAUAAGUUGCUAAUGGUUAGUGAUGCAUAUUUCAAGGAUUAUAAAUCUAUAUUUUUUAUUGCUGGCAUAUGCUAAAGUUGUAUGGAGAAAUGCAUUAUGAUUCAGCUUAAAAAAAGACACAUAAUCCAAGUGUCAGUUUGGAGCUAGUAAGUCUAAUAUGCUCCUUGUCCCACUAUUUGAGCAAAUAACCUUGCUCUUAUUUUAAUGAUGUUAUUUGAAUAAUGAAACAGUAACUUUCUCACUUAUUUCCAUUAAAUCUCCAGCUCAUUUGCAUUUAUAUACUCUGCCUCCUUCUAAUUACAAUUGCAGGACAUCUUGUCAUUCCUACAAGACGUUAGCCUUUCCUGCUCUGGAUUCCAUCCACUCCUGCUUCUAAAGGAUUUUGCUCAUUGAUUAACGCCUACCUCCUUUUCUCAAGGUUUAUUUAAUUUAUGUUUUAAUAUUUUCUUUAUUUAUUGGUAAAUUUCAGUAGCUUUUGGGGCACAAGUGUUUUUUUUUUUUUUGUCACAUGGAUAAAUUAUAUAGUGGUGAAUUCUGAGAUUUUAGUCCACCCAUCACUUGAGUAGUGUACAUUGUACCUAAUGUGUAGAUUUUUAUCCCUGGCACCGGUCCCUGCCUCCCUCUUCUGAGUCUCUGAAGUCCAUUAUAUCUAUCUGUAUGCUUUUGCAUGCCCAUAGCUUAGCUCCCACUUCCAAGUGAGAGCAUAUGAUUUUUUCUUUUCCACUCCGGUUACUUUACUUAGAAUAAUGUCCUACAGCUCCAUCUAAGUUUCUGCAAAAGACAUUAUGUCAUUCCUUUUAAUGGCUGAGUAGUAUUCCAUGGUGUAUAUAUACCACAUUUUCUUUAUCCAGUCAUUAGUCCACGGACACUUACGUUGGUUCCACAGAUUUGCAAUUGUAAAUUGUGUUGCUAUAAAAAUACGUGUGCAAGUGAGUGUCUUUUUCAUAUAAUGACUUCUUUUCCUUUGGGUAGGUACCCAGUAGUGGGAUUGCUGGAUCCAAUGGUAGAUCUACUUUUAGCUCUUUAAGAAAUCCCAUACUGUUUUCUAUAGAGGUUGCACUAAUUUACAUUCCCAGUAGCAGUAUAUAAGUGUUCCCUUUUCCUUACACCCACUCCAACAUCCAUUUUUUUUAACUUUUUACUAAUAGCCAUUCUUGCAGGAAUAAGGUGGUAUGUCAUUGUGGUUUUAAUUUGCAUUUCUCUGAUGAUUAGUGAUGGUGAGCAUUUUUUCAUGUUUCUUGAACAUUUGUGUAUCUUCUACUCAUGUCCAUUCCCCACUUUUUAAUGGGAAUAUUUUUUGUGUGUGUGGUAAUUUGUUUGAGUUCCUUAUAGAUCUGGACACUAGUCCUUUGUCAGGUGUGUAGUUUGCAAAUAUUUUUUCCCAUUCUGUGGGUUGCCUGUUUAUUGUUUAUUUAUUUUGCUAUGCAGGAGCUUUUUAGUUUAAUUUGGUCCCUAUUAUUUAUUUUUAUUUUUGUUGCAUUUGCUUUUGGGGUCUUACUCAUGAAUUCUUUGCCUAGGCUGGCAUCUGGAAAAGUUUUCCAACAUUGUUUUCCAACACAGAAAUUUUAUGGUUUCAGGUUUUAUAUUUAAGUCUUUGAUCCAUCUUGAGUCAAUUUUUGUAUAUGGUGAGAAAUAGGGAUCCAGUUUUAUUCUUCUACAUGUGGCUUGCCAGUUUUCCCAGCAUCAUUUAUUAAACAGGGUGUUUUGUACACUUUGUUGAAUAUCAGCUGGCUGUAAAGACUUAGCUUUAUUUCUGGGUUCUCUACUCUGUUCCACUGGUCUAUAUGCCUAGUUUUAUAUCAGUACCACGCUGUUUUGAAAACUACAGCCUUGUAGUAUAAUUUAAAGUCUGGUAACGUGAUGUCUCCAGAUUUGUUUCUUUUGCUUAUAAUUUCUUUGGCUAUUCAGGCUCUUUUCUAGUUCCUUAUGAAUUUUAGGAUUUUUUUUCUAAUUUUCUGAAAACUGGUGUUGGUAUUUUAUGGGAAUUGCAUUGAAUCUGUAGAUUGCUUUGGACAGCAUGGUCGUUUUCACUAUAUUAGUUCUUCAAAUCUGUGAGCAUGGGAUGUGUUUCCAAUGGUUUGUGUCAUCUAUGAUCUCAUUCAGCAGUAUUUUGUAGUUCUUCUUGUAGAGAUCUUUCACUUCCUCGGUUAGGUAUAUUCCUAGGUUUUUUUGGUUUUGGUUUUGUAGCUGCUGUAAAAGGGAUUGAGUUCUUGAUUUGAUUCUCAGCUUGGUUGUUGUUGGUAUAUAGCAGUGCUAUUGAUUUGUGUACAUUGAUUUUGUAACCUAAGACUUUAUUGAAUUCAUUUUUCAAAUCUGAGUGUCUUUUGGAGGAGUCCUUAGGAUUUUUAAGGAAUACAAUCGUAUCAUCUGCAAACAGCAAUCGUUUGACUUCCUCUUUUCCUACAUGAUUCUACAUCUAAUAGAAUCAUGUAUUAAAUAUCCAAUUAAAAAGUAAGUAAAACUCUAAAUUCUCACUUUUUAUUCCAUCUAUUGCUGAACUCCUCUGAUCCCCUUCCCAGUUAAACCACUUGAAAGAAUAAUCUACAAUCAUAUCUUCACUUUCUCAUCACUUUCAUUUUUUUCCUAAAAUCUUUCCAAAAUGACCCCACAUUCCACUCCUUGAGGAAGCUGCUACUAUCACAAGAGAUUUGCUAAAUGUAAUAAUUAGCAAAACUUGUCUCUUUACUUUCUUGAUCCUUCAACACCAUUCAGUACAGUUGACAUGUGUGGAAACAGUAUUUUUUCUUGACUUCGGUCCUACCAUUUUCCUGUUUUGUUUUUCUUUUAUCUCUUCCAUUUUUGCUUUUCUCCCAUAAACUUUUUUGCUAUUUUCUUCCAUUUGACACGUAAGUGCCCUAAGGUGCAGUUCUAAGUUCCCGUCUCUUCAAGCAAAUUUUUUUUUCUAAAUAAUUAAUUUCAUCUAGAGCAAUGGUUUUUUGUUUGUUUGUUUUUGUUUGUUUGUUUCAGAUGGAGUCUCACUCUGUUUCCCAGGAUGGAGUGCAGUGGCAUGAUCUCGGCUCACUGCAACCUCUGCCUUCUGGGUUCAAGCAAUUCUCCUGCCUCAGUUCCUGAGUAGCUGGGAUUACAGGCGCACACCACCAGGCCCAGCUAAUUUUUGCAUUUUUAGUAGAGACAAGGUUUUACCAUGUUGGUCAGGCUAGUCUCCAACUCUUGACCUCGUGAUCUGCCCACCUCAGCCUCCCAAAACGCUGGGAUUACAGGCGUGAGCCACUGUGCCCAGCCUAGAGCAAUGGUUUUAAAUAAUAUCUAUAUAUUCCCAAAUCUAUAUCUCUAUAGCUAAAGUCCACAGACUAAUAAACAGCUUCCGAUAUAUCCUUUUCCUUGAGUGACAAAUAUCCAUUAUAGAUUUAACAGGACCAAACAAAAUACUUGAUAUUAUUCUAAAACCUGUUCCUCAUCCUGUCUUCUUUAUCUUAGUAGAUGCAAACAUUACCUACCCAAUUGUUCAAGCCAACACCAAAAUGUCAUUCUAUAUUCCCUUCUUUUCCUCACUGCGACAUCCAGCCCACUAUCAAAUCCUGUGACAUUCCUUCCAAAAUGUAUCCUGAAAAUAUAAUUUCCCUUCACUCAAUCUCUCCCCAGCAAAUAGAGUGUUCUAUUAAAAAUGGAAACCAUAUCAUAUCUCCUUACUGCACUUUAGCUUAAAUACUUCAGCAACUUCUAAUCACGUACAAUCUCUACAUUAUGCUUUACAUCUUUGCAUCUUACUUAUAAUAAACUUCUGAUUCUGGUUUUAGAGUCUUCCUGAUCUGGUACCUGUGUUUCACCUUGCACAAUUUCUUUCUCUCUCUCCUUCACUCUCUGCUGUGAACACAUUUAUCCUCCUUCUGUUUCUUCUUCAUAUCUUAGCACAUUGUAGAAGCAUUCUCCUUUGCACAGAAUGUUGUUCUCUCUUCCUGGAAUAUUCUUCCUCUUCAGCUUAAAAUGUCUGCAUUCUUGUCAUUCAAGCCCAGAACUGCCUUGGUGGUUACACAGGCCAUCCACAGUAAUCACAUUCAGUUCUUAGUUCAAAUUUCAUCCAUGGAGACAAGCCUUCUAAUCCCUUUUUCUCACAUUUCCAUUAGCCAGAACUUAGUCCCAUGGCAAUACUUAAUGAUAAGGAGGGCUGAAAAGUUUAGAAAGUAGCUGGAUGUUCAUGAACCAAGCUACAAACCAGGAGAUUCCAUAAAUUCAAGGAGGAAGGGAAGAUCGUAUAAUGGAGAUCAACAUUCUUUG